CCUACGGGAGGCAGCAGUGAGGAAUAUUGGUCAAUGGACGAGAGUCUGAACCAGCCAAGUAGCGUGAAGGAUGACUGCCCUAUGGGUUGUAAACUUCUUUUAUAUGGGAAUAAAAUGUUCCACGUGUGGGAUUUUGUAUGUACCAUAUGAAUAAGGAUCGGCUAACUCCGUGCCAGCAGCCGCGGUAAUACGGAGGAUCCGAGCGUUAUCCGGAUUUAUUGGGUUUAAAGGGAGAGUAGGUGGAUUGUUAAGUCAGUUGUGAAAGUUUGCGGCUCAACCAUAAAAUUGCAGUUGAAACUGGCAGUCUGGAGUACAGUAGAGGUGGGCGGAAUUCGUGGUGUAGCGGUGAAAUGCUUAGAUAUCACGAAGAACUCCGAUUGCGAAGGCAGCUCACUGGACUGCAACUGACACUGAGGCUCGAAAGUGUGGGUAUCAAACAGGAUUAGAUACCCCAGUAGUC
rnacentral:rRNA from 1 species